GAUAUGAUGCCUGAUAAAAGGUUUGUCUUGAUAGGACAACUAAUGUAGCUAAACUACUCAUAUUAC
rnacentral:tRNA from 1 species